UACGUAGGGUGCGAGCGUUGUCCGGAAUUAUUGGGCGUAAAGAGCUCGUAGGCGGUGUGUCACGUCGUUCGUGAAAACCUGCAGCUUAACUGUGGGCGUGCGGUCGAUACGGGCAUCACUGGAGUUCGGCAGGGGAGACUGGAAUUCCUGGCGUAGCGGUGAAAUGCGCAGAUAUCAGGAGGAACACCGGUGGCGAAGGCGGGUCUCUGGGCCGAUACUGACGCUGAGGAGCGAAAGCGUGGGGAGCAAACAGG
rnacentral:rRNA from 1 species